CCCUCCUGCAAAGGCGUGUUUAUUGUUUGCUGUCUUUGGACAUGUAAGAACUGAAGGCAAAGAAAGGUGGACUUGGAGAAGUCUAGGGUGGGCUUGCUCCCUGCAAGCUCAAGGUCAUCCAUCCCUUAGAA